GGGCACGUGGCUUAAGUUAGCAAGUUAUACUUGCAAACGGCAACGCCAGGUAGAGCGACGGACUCUUAAUCCGUUGGCCGGGGGUUCAAAAGCCUGCCGUGGAUUCACCACGGUGGCGGGAAUUCCCUCCGUGCCCG
rnacentral:tRNA from 1 species